rnacentral:rRNA from 1 species
AACGAACGCUGGCGGCAGGCCUAACACAUGCAAGUCGAGCGCGCAGCAAUGCGAGCGGCAGACGGGUGAGUAACGCGUGGGAGCCUUCCUAUUGGUGCGGAAUAGCUCAGGGAAACUUGGGGUAAUACCGCAUAAGCCCGAAAGGGGAAAGAUUUAUCGCCGAUAGAUGGGCCCGCGUUGGAUUAGCUAGUUGGUGAGGUAACGGCUCACAAAGGCGACGAUCCAUAGCUGGUUUGAGAGAAUGACCAGCCACACUGGGACUGAGACACGGCCCAGACUCCUACGGGAGGCAGCAGUGGGGAAUCUUGGACAAUGGGCGCAAGCCUGAUCCAGCCAUGCCGCGUGAGUGAUGAAGGCCUUCGGGUUGUAAAGCUCUUUUGCCGGGGACGAUAAUGACGGUACCCGGAGAAUAAGUCCCGGCUAACUUCGUGCCAGCAGCCGCCGCGG